rnacentral:rRNA from 1 species
CCUACGGGAGGCUGCAGUGGGGAAUAUUGGGCAAUGGGCGCAAGCCUGACCCAGCAACGCCGCGUGAAGGAAGAAGGCUUUCGGGUUGUAAACUUCUUUUCUCAGGGACGAAGCAAGUGACGGUACCUGAGGAAUAAGCCACGGCUAACUACGUGCCAGCAGCCGCGGUAAUACGUAGGUGGCAAGCGUUAUCCGGAUUUACUGGGUGUAAAGGGCGUGUAGGCGGGGACGCAAGUCAGAUGUGAAAACCACGGGCUCAACCUGUGGCCUGCAUUUGAAACUGUGUGUCUUGAGUACUGGAGAGGCAGACGGAAUUCCUAGUGUAGCGGUGAAAUGCGUAGAUAUUAGGAGGAACACCAGUUGCGAAGGCGGUCUGCUGGAC